CCUACGGGAGGCAGCAGUGGGGAAUAUUGCACAAUGGGCGAAAGCCUGAUGCAGCAACGCCGCGUGAAGGAAGAAGGGUUUCGGCUCGUAAACUUCUAUCAACAGGGAAGAAAGAAAUGACGGUACCUGCAUAAGAAGCACCGGCUAAAUACGUGCCACCAGCCGCGGGAAGACGGAGGGGGCAAGCGUUAUCCGGAAUUACUGGGUGUAAAGGGUGAGUGGGCGGCAUGGUAAGUCAGAUGUGAAAGCCAUGGGCGUAACCCGAGUAUUGCAUUUGAAACUAUCAAGCUAGAGUACAGGAGAGGUAAGCGGAAUUCCUAGUGUAGCGGUGAAAUGCGUAGAUAUUAGGAAGAACACCAGUGGCGAAGGCGGCUUUCUGGACUGAAACUGACGCUGAGGCACGAAAGCGUGGGGAGCGAACAGGAUUAGAUACCCGUGUAGUC
rnacentral:rRNA from 1 species